AACGAACGCUGGCGGCAUGCCUAACACAUGCAAGUCGAACGAAGGCUUCGGCCUUAGUGGCGCACGGGUGAGUAACGCGUGGGAAACUGCCUAUUGGUGGGGAAUAACGACGGGCAACUGUCGCUAAUACCGCAUACAACCUUCGGGGGAAAGAUUUAUUGCCGAUAGAUGUGCCCGGGUCGGAUUAGCUAGUUGGUGAGGUAAUGGAUCACCAAGGCGACGAGCGGUAGCUGGUCGGAGAGAGUGCUCAGACGCUCUGGGACUGAGACACGCCCCAGACUCCUAAGGGAGGCAGCAGUGGGGAAUAUUGGACAAUGGGUGAAAGCCUGAUCCAGCAAUACCGCGUGAGUGAUGAAGGCCUUAGGGUUGUAAAGCUCUGUCGGGUGGGACGAUGAUGACGGUACCACCAGAAGAAGCCCCGGCUAACUUCGUGCCAGCCGCCGCCGUAA
rnacentral:rRNA from 1 species